GAUGAACGCUGGCGGCGUGCCUAAUACAUGCAAGUCGAGCGAACAGAUUAUGAGCUUGCUCCUCUGACGUUAGCGUCGGACGUGUGAGUAACACGUGGAUAACCUACCUAUAAGACUGGGAUAACGUCGGGAAACCUGAGCUAGUUCCGUAUAAUAUAUUGAACCUCAUUGUUCAAUAAUGAAAGACGGAUUUGCUGUCACGUAUAGAUGGAUCCUCGCCGAAUUAGCUAUUUGGUAAUGGAACGGCUUACCAAGGCAACGAUGCGUAGCCGACCUGAGAGGGUGACCGGCAACCCUGGAACUGAGAAACGGUCCAGACUCCUCCGGGAGGAGGCAGUAGGGAAUCUUCCGAAAUGAGCGAAAGCCUGCCGGAGAAACGCCGCGUGGGUGAUGAAGGUCUUCGAACGUUAAAACCCUGUUAUUGGGGAGAACCAAAUUUGUAAGUAACUAUGCACACCUUGACGGUACCUAAUCAGAAAGCCACGGCUAACUACGUG
rnacentral:rRNA from 1 species